CUAAUAGGCGUCAGCAUCUUCAACACAAGCUGCCUACGUCUGCUGCCGACUGCUACCACUACUGAUGGACAUCAUCGUCUUCCGUCGCCGACUGGUUAUGCCGCCGCCGGCUGGUGCUUUUAUCUUCACAAUUAUAUGUCUUCACUACCGCUUUCCUACUUCACCAACCACGACGUCUACAGGAGCUUCGACAUCUCGGCAUGCGUCACCAAAUAUGAUGCCGUGUUAUAUUAUUACAACAAGUGGUGUUCCAAUCUUCAAUAUUUCUACUCGGACAUCUUCAACAUGCAUCUUUACUCAAGCAAUGACUAUUCGACUACAAGAAGCUACAGUUCUCGACUCUAUGUUCAGUUGUUUCUCAACUAACCAAAGAGUCGGGGGCUACACAAAUACAAGACUAUCAAAAUUCGACAAGCUUUAUGUCAAGAUUAAGCAAUCAAUCAAUCAACGAGUCAAUUCGGGGAGUUAUUAUCUUCGUCUACGCUUCAGAACCGUCAUUUAAUUUCAGCGACUCCAAUUAUUACACCGGCAAUUUUGGCUUCUUCACGCCGUCACAAUCUACUCCAAAUAUUUCCAGUAUCAAUUUUGAAAUUUAAUCUACAUGUUCGGGAGUUUGGAGUUAUCAACCAAUAAGUUCAGUUUUGAUGAGUUGGGCAAGAGCAUCUACUUUCCUCCAAGUGAAGAAUCUGCAACAGCUAUAACACCAAAUUCUACUGCCAUCUUUAUAAAUCAAGGAGCUUUGCAUCAA